CCAAGUUUUGACUCGGGGCUCCCCUUACGUCCAAAAUGGAGAGAAUUCACGGACGCACGUGAGCUUGGAUGUCCUAGUUUGAAUGUUAGGGGUUUGCCAAGACAAUCUGCACUGGAUUGACCUAAAACGAACUUCCUUUUCCAGGGGAUUGAGCCACGCCACCCGAUAGAAUGAAAUCAUGACUUUUGCAGCAACGUGGAUGGACCUAGAGAUUAUCAUACUAAGCGAAAUUCAGCCGGAUGACGUGGCGUGGUCUCUGAUGUCCAGGAGGGAGAAUAACCAGCGUUGGCCUCCUCAAGCUGCAGAGGAAGCUGUGUGAGGGCAUCUUUCCUCUGGGGGCUUUGGAUUCUCUUGCCUCCUACCUGGGAGGCAGAGAACGGGCUGAAGGACAAAAAAGAACAUUAACAGGCAAACUCGCAUCGGGUCUCAAGUCAUCCACAGUCUCACAACUAUGACAAAUGCACAACCUUUGGUUGAAAAGGCUCAGGAAGUUGGUUGGCCAGACGAUCCAUUUGGUUGAGAAAAAGAAGCUGAGUUUGAUUGACCUGACCAGUUCGGAAAAUGCACCAUUUCUGGUUUCUCCAGUUGCACUUACUAGCAGGGAUUGCUUUGAUUUGCAUCAUAUAAGAAAAAAGAAGCUCAAUAAAAUGUAUUUGGUUCUGUGUCACUACAUGAGCCGUUAACAAAUUAGCACAGGGGAAGCUUUUGCAAAUGAGAUUAAAUUUCCUUGUUUAUGUUGGAAAUCUCCCUCAGUCUCUGUCAGCAAAUGUGCAAUAACAUUCUUUCCGUGUUGGGCUGGCUUUCAGUUGGUUUGUUAUUUUUGUUUCUUUUGUUCUUUCUAUGGGCCUUCAGAGUGACCGUCUCUCUCAGGGAAGAUAGAAACUCUUGCCUGGGGUUAAGGGAGACUUCCUGGGGCAGGGGUGGGAGUGGCGUGGAGGGAGGGUUGCCAGACAGAAUACAGGAUGCCCAGUCAGGUUGGAAUUUCAGGUAAACAAUGAGUUUUAAAAAAUAGUAUAAGUAUGUCCCAAAUAUUGCAUGGGACAUACUUAUACUAAAAGACAUUCCUUGUGUAUCUGACAUGCACAUUGGAUUGGGCGUCCUGUAUUUUUAUUUGUUAAAUUGGGGCAGCUGCAGUCUCCUUUGAUGUGGGGAGGAAGUUUCUAUGCCUGAGACAUCCCAGGGCUGUAGGAAAAGGCUGCUUUCCCCACCCUCUUCCUCUUUGGCUGGGCCUGACUAGAUUUUAACCUGCACCUGAGACUCGGUUUCCCUUAGGGUUGGGACCGGGGUGAGGAGAACGAAGCACUUGCCUUGGGCACAAACCCAGGAAUUGAGAUAAAGAAUUAGUGCAUUAUGGAAAAAAAAAUUAAAAAAGAAAUGAUCCUGUAUUAAAAUGUUUCAUAUUUUAACAUCAUAAAUAUUAUGAUUUUUGUCAUAAAUAUUUUGGUUACAAUAUUUUAUUAAAAUGUUCUUUAUCUUAAUUACUGAGGUUUUGUUCUUGUUUUUGUUGCACCCUUUUAAGUUUUGCUCCAGAAGUGGUGGGGUGGCAGGAGUGUUAAAUGCAAGCUUGUGGUCCUACAAAGAGCAACGCCAGAAUUCUUCAUUGAGAAUUAAAAUAUGAGUUUUUCUACUUUAUUUGACCUCUGUUUACAUACACAUUUGGAGAUGCCUGUAGUCUUCCCUUAUCCGUUUUAACAUGAUGGUUACUUUGAACUUGAGUGAAAUUUCUCACUUCCAUUGCCCCAACCUUUGUCUAGGAAGAUACUUUUUUGGUCCCAAUUUUCUUCUUUCAAAGCAAUGGAGAUUCUGGUCUCUUUUACUGUUUUAGACGUGAGGAUAACAUCUGAGGAUAAGACUCUGGCUUUGCCCAGUGGUAGAAUCUUCCAGAAGAAGUUUGGAGAGCCUGUUGGGCUUGGAUGCAUGAGAGCGGGACUGGUCACUACUGACUUAAUGAUUAUUUAAUAUCAUCUCAUUGAAUAUUUAAAGUGACAUUUGUGUGUUACUGUUCAAGAAAUGUUCCAACAUUAUAUUUAGUUGAUUGUUGUAUAUGUAUGAAAUAAAUGCUGUCUAGCAAUGCAAAUAAUUGGCAUCCUCGUUUUGUUG